rnacentral:rRNA from 1 species
ACGAACGCUGGCGGCGUGCCUAAUACAUGCAAGUCGAACGGUCUUUCUAUGGAAGCUUGCUUCCACUGAGAAGAUAGUGGCGAACGGGUGAGUAACACGUGGGUAACCUGCCCAUAAGAGGGGGAUAACAUCCGGAAACGGGUGCUAAUACCGCAUAGUUUUCUUGAUCGCAUGAUUGAGAAAGGAAAGACGGCCUUUGUGCUGUCGCUUAUGGAUGGACCCGCGGCGUAUUAGUUAGUUGGUGAGGUAAUGGCUCACCAAGACGAUGAUACGUAGCCGACCUGAGAGGGUGAUCGGCCACAUUGGGACUGAGACACGGCCCAAACUCCUACGGGAGGCAGCAGUAGGGAAUCUUCCGCAAUGGACGAAAGUCUGACGGAGCAACGCCGCGUGAGUGAAGAAAGGUUUUCGGAUCGUAAAACUCUGUUGUCAGAGAAGAACAAGUUGGAGAGUAACUGCUCCAGCCUUGACGGUAUCUGACCAGAAAGCCACGGCUAACUACGUGCCAGCCGCCGC